CCUACGGGAGGCAGCAGUGGGGAAUUUUGGACAAUGGGCGAAAGCCUGAUCCAGCCAUUCCGCGUGAGUGAUGAAGGCCUUCGGGUUGUAAAGCUCUUUCGGCCGGGAAAAAAUCGCAUGGGUUAAUACCCUGUGUGGAUGAUGGUACCGGACUAAGAAGCACCGGCUAACUACGUGCCAGCAGCCGCGGUAAUACGUAGGGUGCGAGCGUUAAUCGGAAUUACUGGGCGUAAAGCGUGCGCAGGCGGAUGUUUAAGUCAGAUGUGAAAUCCCCGGGCUCAACCUGGGAAUGGCAUUUGAAACUGGGCAUCUAGAGUGCGUCAGAGGGGGGUGGAAUUCCACGUGUAGCAGUGAAAUGCGUAGAGAUGUGGAGGAACACCGAUGGCGAAGGCAGCCCCCUGGGAUGACACUGACGCUCAUGCACGAAAGCGUGGGGAGCAAACAGGAUUAGAUACCCUGGUAGUCCACGCCCUAAACGAUGUCAACUAGUUGUUGGGGACGAAAGUUCUUAGUAACGAAGCUAACGCGUGAAGUUGACCGCCUGGGGAGUACGACCGC
rnacentral:rRNA from 1 species